rnacentral:lncRNA from 1 species
UACAAUUUAAAAGAGACAUCAAAAAUUAUUCUCAAACGAUUUAUUCCAUUACACAGGGUGAAGUUGGACCACCUGGGCCACCUGGUAUACCAGGCUCUGUGGUGCAGAAGGAGGGCCUGAAAGGAGAACAAGGGGCUCCAGGACCACGUGGUCAUCAGGGCUUACCUGGUCCUCCAGGAGCACCAGUAAGUCAUUCAAUUUCCUUUCAUCCUGAUCCAAACAAAUUUUAGCUUGUAUAUGUAUGUUAUUUUAUUUUUAAACAAUUUAUAUUCAACGAAUAAGUGAGCUCAUUACAAAUCAUCAAUAAACACAUUU